GACGAACGCUGGCGGCGUGCUUAACACAUGCAAGUCGAACGGUAAGGCCCUGGCUUUGUGGGGUGCACGAGUGGCGAACGGGUGAGUAACACGUGAGUAACCUGCCCUUGACUUUGGGAUAACUUCAGGAAACUGGGGCUAAUACCGGAUAGGAGCUCAUGCUGAAUGGUGGGGGGUGGAAAGUUUCGGCGGUUGGGGAUGGACUCGCGGCUUAUCAGCUUGUUGGUGGGGUAGUGGCCUACCAAGGCUGUGACGGGUAGCCGGCCUGAGAGGGUGACCGGCCACAUUGGGACUGAGAUACGGCCCAGACUCCUACGGGAGGCAGCAGUGGGGAAUAUUGCACAAUGGGCGGAAGCCUGAUGCAGCAACGCCGCGUGCGGGAUGACGGCCUUCGGGUUGUAAACCGCUUUCGCCAGUGACGAAGCGUGAGUGACGGUAAUGGGUAAAGAAGCACCGGCUAACUACGUG
rnacentral:rRNA from 1 species